rnacentral:rRNA from 1 species
UACAGAGGGUGCAAGCGUUGUUCGGAAUUAUUGGGCGUAAAGGGCGCGUAGGCGGUGCGGUAAGUCUGUAGUGAAAUCUCUGGGCUCAACUCAGAGUCUGCUGCAGAAACUGCCGUGCUUGAGUGUGGGAGAGGUGAGUGGAAUUCCCGGUGUAGCGGUGAAAUGCGUAGAUAUCGGAAGGAACACCAGUGGCGAAGGCGGCUUCCUGGACUUAGACUGACACUGAGGCACGAAAGCGUGGGGAUCAAACAGG